AGAGUUUGAUCCUGGCUCAGAAUCAACGCUGGCGGCGUGCCUAACACAUGCAAGUCGAACGAGAAAGUGGAGCAAUCCAUGAGUAAAGUGGCGACCGGGUGAGUAACACGUGACUAACCUACCCUUGAGUGGGGGAUAACCUCGGGAAACCGGGGCUAAUACCGCAUAAAAUCUUCGGGAUGAAAAGCUGAAGAUCAAAGGAGCAGUUCGCUUUUUGGAGGGGGUCGCGGCUGAUUAGCUAGUUGGUGGGGUAACGGCCCACCAAGGCGGUGAUCGGUAGCCGGCCUGAGAGGGCGCACGGCCACACUGGAACUGAAACACGGUCCAGACUCCUACGGAGGCAGCAGUGGGGAAUUUUGCGCAUGGGGGAAACCCUGACGCAGCACGCCGCGUGGAAGAUGAAGCC
rnacentral:rRNA from 1 species